CAGCAGAUACAUUCCAGCCAAUCAGCAGCAGACCCUCCCUCCCAGUCCCUCUCACCUCAUGGACAGCAUCCAUUUUGAAGCUGCAUUCUUAGUGAGCUGUCCACGAGGUGGGAAGGUCUGGGAGGGAGGGUCUGCUGCUGAUUGGCUGGAAUGUGUCUGCUG